CGCGAUAGAUGAUGAAAUGAAAAAGCAAAUGGCUACUGCAUUCCGACGUACUAAAAUUCCUAAUAAAAAGAAUCCGAUGUAAUUCGAUGAUAAAUGCGCUCUUUAUGAUCAUGAUUAGCAAAAUAAGGCUCUAAAGCAACUAAAGAACUAAGAUACAAUAAUAUUCCAAGCUAAAAACUUGCCAAAACUAGGAAAAAUACAAAGAUAUUAAAUCCUAUCAAGUACUAUUUAGAAAUUUCGCUAAUAUAUUGUUUUGUGUGUGAUGCUGAUUCACGUCCGUUUAUGUUUAGUUGAUGUAAUGUGAAGUUAUUGCCCGGGCGGAGCGCCGCCCCACGGCCAUGGAGCGGUACGAGAAGAGGCACAGCAAGCACCACAAGGAGAAGCACAAAAAGCGAUUGCACAAAAAGCACAGGAGCUCUAGCGGUACCCAUGACCAAUCUUAUGCAACAAGUAACUCUCACAAGCCGCUGGUGGAGUACUCGGACGUCAGCUCGGAGGCUCUGUCGGCCCCGGAGGCCGGCGAGAUCGAGAGCGAGGCGAGCUCCAUCAGCCGGCACAUCGCCGACGACCUCGACCGGACGAGGAAGUCUCACUCGAUCCGCACAUUCGUCGACGACAAGACGAUCUCGGUCACGACGACGAGCCGACGCAUUGUAGACGAGUACGCUCUUACCCGUGAUUCUUCUUCGGCAGCAUCUAAGAAGAGGCGCGGCUUAGACUUUGUGGAAACGGAGUUGGAGAUUGAAGAUCACCGGUUUAAGAAGAAGAAAGAUAAGCGGAAGAAGGAAAAAAGAAAGAAAAAGAAGAAGGACAAGCACCGCUCGAGAUCUGCUAGCUUAGAAAGUGUGUCCCCGGAUGAUAACUUGCCUACGGCUACCCCUGGGAGACCACCAAGUCCUCCGAGAUACGCUCAAGUGCCUGUGAGCGAAUGGGAAAAGGCCUCAUCUCCGUUACAAAAUGGGUCCUGCUCACCAGUAUCUCCAUCAACUCCACCACCACUGGUCAGGGAGGUCCGUCGAGAUCCGUCACCAAGGCUACGCCCUCCAAUCAUAGCAGAACCCUUACAUCCAUUGCCUUAUUCUCCCAGAGAGAGAUCCCCGCUAAUGAGGAGAAGACAGAAAUCUACCACACCACACACACCAGUUGCGCCCCCGUACCAUGAGACCGUCACGAUAGAUUCCGGCGAUGAGCAGGAGUUUGAGCACAGGCGGGACUACUGGCCUGAACACAGGCCGCAGUCACCCAUCAUGAUUAUUUCUGAUUCCCCUGAACGGGGGAUAUCGCGUAGUCGAGGCGACUACAGCCCGCGGAGGCACCGACGCCGUUCACGCGGCUCGCCGCGACGUCGGCACCGCAGUCGCGACCGGGACAGACACCGGGACAUCAGAGGCUCUGGCAGACGAUCUCCAUCCCGCACAUCAUUAAAACGACGACGUUCGUUAUCGCGGGGCCGUCGGCGCGGAUCGUCGCCUUCUCCACCAAGACAUCGCGUCCGGCAUCGAGAACCUUCGCGAGAUCGACACAGGCCUAAGCAUGACUCGCCAAGUCCGCCGUCGGUCCUGCAGCGCAGGAUAGACUUCAAAGAGAAGAUCAGCGAUACAAGCUUGUUCGCUGAACUUGUUAAGGACAAGCAUAAGAGGGCUAAGAAACUACAAGAGAUCCUAGACCAAAAGGAGGAGGAGUCCCAAGGCGCGAUCUCCACCACAACCUCCAUCAACAACCCCGAGAUCCUCACCAUCGACGAGCUCUCCAACGCCACAUACGACAGCGCCUCGCAGCUCAAGGAAAACGGAGAAGCACCGACCCCAGUUCCACCACCGGCUAAUGAUAAAGAAGUUGGAGAUAUACCGCUGCCGGGAGCUGUUCCACCAUUACCGGUGCCACCGCCAAUGCAGCCUCCACCGGUGUUUGGUGCACUUACUGUUGAGAAGCCUGAGGAAACCAAGAGCAAUGGAGAAGAGGUGAGGCAGCCAACGCCCCCCGCCGCGCCCCCGGUGGCGCCGGCCGCUCCAGCGCUGCCGCCGCUGCCGAAGGUGGGCGGCAGCGUGGUGGAGGGCGUGUACGCGAGCAGCCAGCAGCCGCCGCCGCCCAAGCCCAAGUCCCUCGUCAAGCUGCCCAUGCCGCCCAACACGCAGGUACCGCCACCGCCUCACUCACUCCACCGACACUGCCCAAGGUGGGCGGCAGCGUGGUGGAGGGCGUGUACGCGAGCAGCCAGCAGCCGCCGCCGCCCAAGCCCAAGUCCCUCGUCAAGCUGCCCAUGCCGCCCAACACGCAGGUACCGCCACCGCCUCACUCACUCCACCGACACUGCCCAAGGUGGGCGGCAGCGUGGUGGAGGGCGUGUACGCGAGCAGCCAGCAGCCGCCGCCGCCCAAGCCCAAGUCCCUCGUCAAGCUGCCCAUGCCGCCCAACACGCAGGUACCGCCACCGCCUCACUCACUCCACCGACACUGCCCAAGGUGGGCGGCAGCGUGGUGGAGGGCGUGUACGCGAGCAGCCAGCAGCCGCCGCCGCCCAAGCCCAAGUCCCUCGUCAAGCUGCCCAUGCCGCCCAACACGCAGGUACCGCCACCGCCUCACUCACUCCACCGACACUGCCCAAGGUGGGCGGCAGCGUGGUGGAGGGCGUGUACGCGAGCAGCCAGCAGCCGCCGCCGCCCAAGCCCAAGUCCCUCGUCAAGCUGCCCAUGCCGCCCAACACGCAGGUACCGCCACCGCCUCACUCACUCCACCGACACUGCCCAAGGUGGGCGGCAGCGUGGUGGAGGGCGUGUACGCGAGCAGCCAGCAGCCGCCGCCGCCCAAGCCCAAGUCCCUCGUCAAGCUGCCCAUGCCGCCCAACACGCAGGUACCGCCACCGCCUCACUCACUCCACCGACACUGCCCAAGGUGGGCGGCAGCGUGGUGGAGGGCGUGUACGCGAGCAGCCAGCAGCCGCCGCCGCCCAAGCCCAAGUCCCUCGUCAAGCUGCCCAUGCCGCCCAACACGCAGGUACCGCCACCGCCUCACUCACUCCACCGACACUGCCCAAGGUGGGCGGCAGCGUGGUGGAGGGCGUGUACGCGAGCAGCCAGCAGCCGCCGCCGCCCAAGCCCAAGUCCCUCGUCAAGCUGCCCAUGCCGCCCAACACGCAGGUACCGCCACCGCCUCACUCACUCCACCGACACUGCCCAAGGUGGGCGGCAGCGUGGUGGAGGGCGUGUACGCGAGCAGCCAGCAGCCGCCGCCGCCCAAGCCCAAGUCCCUCGUCAAGCUGCCCAUGCCGCCCAACACGCAGGUACCGCCACCGCCUCACUCACUCCACCGACACUGCCCAAGGUGGGCGGCAGCGUGGUGGAGGGCGUGUACGCGAGCAGCCAGCAGCCGCCGCCGCCCAAGCCCAAGUCCCUCGUCAAGCUGCCCAUGCCGCCCAACACGCAGGUACCGCCACCGCCUCACUCACUCCACCGACACUGCCCAAGGUGGGCGGCAGCGUGGUGGAGGGCGUGUACGCGAGCAGCCAGCAGCCGCCGCCGCCCAAGCCCAAGUCCCUCGUCAAGCUGCCCAUGCCGCCCAACACGCAGGUACCGCCACCGCCUCACUCACUCCACCGACACUGCCCAAGGUGGGCGGCAGCGUGGUGGAGGGCGUGUACGCGAGCAGCCAGCAGCCGCCGCCGCCCAAGCCCAAGUCCCUCGUCAAGCUGCCCAUGCCGCCCAACACGCAGGUACCGCCACCGCCUCACUCACUCCACCGACACUGCCCAAGGUGGGCGGCAGCGUGGUGGAGGGCGUGUACGCGAGCAGCCAGCAGCCGCCGCCGCCCAAGCCCAAGUCCCUCGUCAAGCUGCCCAUGCCGCCCAACACGCAGGUACCGCCACCGCCUCACUCACUCCACCGACACUGCCCAAGGUGGGCGGCAGCGUGGUGGAGGGCGUGUACGCGAGCAGCCAGCAGCCGCCGCCGCCCAAGCCCAAGUCCCUCGUCAAGCUGCCCAUGCCGCCCAACACGCAGGUACCGCCACCGCCUCACUCACUCCACCGACACUGCCCAAGGUGGGCGGCAGCGUGGUGGAGGGCGUGUACGCGAGCAGCCAGCAGCCGCCGCCGCCCAAGCCCAAGUCCCUCGUCAAGCUGCCCAUGCCGCCCAACACGCAGGUACCGCCACCGCCUCACUCACUCCACCGACACUGCCCAAGGUGGGCGGCAGCGUGGUGGAGGGCGUGUACGCGAGCAGCCAGCAGCCGCCGCCGCCCAAGCCCAAGUCCCUCGUCAAGCUGCCCAUGCCGCCCAACACGCAGGUACCGCCACCGCCUCACUCACUCCACCGACACUGCCCAAGGUGGGCGGCAGCGUGGUGGAGGGCGUGUACGCGAGCAGCCAGCAGCCGCCGCCGCCCAAGCCCAAGUCCCUCGUCAAGCUGCCCAUGCCGCCCAACACGCAGGUACCGCCACCGCCUCACUCACUCCACCGACACUGCCCAAGGUGGGCGGCAGCGUGGUGGAGGGCGUGUACGCGAGCAGCCAGCAGCCGCCGCCGCCCAAGCCCAAGUCCCUCGUCAAGCUGCCCAUGCCGCCCAACACGCAGGUUGAUGACCUAAAGACGCUGGCGAACGAGAGUCCGCUCAGCACGCCAUCGCCCAGCCCGGUCAAGAAGCCUGAAAAGCCUAAGAAGACUGGAAUCAUGAACUUGCCAAUGCCACCUGUGAUCCCCGGCUCCGAGGAGCUGA
rnacentral:misc_RNA from 1 species